UACGAAGGGUGCAAGCGUUAAUCGGAAUUACUGGGCGUAAAGCGUGCGUAGGCGGUUUCUUAAGUCUGCUGUGAAAUCCCCGGGCUCAACCUGGGAAUGGCAGUGGAUACUGGAAGGCUAGAGUGUGUCAGAGGAUGGUGGAAUUCCCGGUGUAGCGGUGAAAUGCGUAGAGAUCGGGAGGAACAUCAGUGGCGAAGGCGGCCAUCUGGGACAACACUGACGCUGAGGCACGAAAGCGUGGGGAGCAAACAGG
rnacentral:rRNA from 1 species